AAGCUAAUACCGGAUAAUAUUUUGUAACCGCAUGGUUCAAAAGUAGAAAGACUGUCUUGCUGUCACUUAUAGAUGGAUCCGCGCUGCAUUAGCUAGUUGGUAAGGUAACGGCUUACCAAGGCAACGAUGCAUAGCCGACCUGAGAGGGUGAUCGGCCACACUGGAACUGAGACACGGUCCAG
rnacentral:rRNA from 1 species